rnacentral:rRNA from 1 species
CGUGUAGGCGGUUUGUUAAGUCAUGUGUGAAAUCCCUCGGCUCAACCGGGGAACGACGCAUGAAACUGACAAGCUAGAGUACCAAAGAGGGGGGUGGAAUUCCCGGUGUAGCGGUGAAAUGCGUGGAUAUCGGGAGGAACACCUGUGGCGAAGGCGGCCCCCCUGGUUGGAUACUGACGCUGAGACGCGAAAGCGUGGGGAGCAAACA